rnacentral:rRNA from 1 species
GAUGAACGCUAGCGAUAGGCCUAACACAUGCAAGUCGAGGGGCAUCACAUGAAGUAGCAAUACGGAUGGUGGCGACCGGCGCACGGGUGAGUAACACGUAUGCAACCUGCCUUCAACAAGGGCAUAACCCGUUGAAAGACGGACUAAUUCCCUAUAACACAGGGGUCCCGCAUGGGAAUAUUUGUUAAAGGACAACCGGUUGAAGAUGGGCAUGCGUUCCAUUAGCUAGUUGGCGGGGUAACGGCCCACCAAGGCAACGAUGGAUAGGGGAACUGAGAGGUUUAUCCCCCACACUGGUACUGAGACACGGACCAGACUCCUACGGGAGGGCAGCAGUGAGGAAUAUUGGUCAAUGGACGCAAGUCUGAACCAGCCACGUCGCGUGAAGGAAGACGGCCCUACGGGUUGUAAACUUCUUUUAUACGGGAAUAAAGUGCCCCACGCGUGGGGUUUUGCAUGUACCGUAUGAAUAAGGAUCGGCUAACUCCGUGCCAGCAGCCGCGGUAAAU